AUUGAACGCUGGCGGCAGGCCUAACACAUGCAAGUCGAGCGGAUGAAGGGAGCUUGCUCCUGGAUUCAGCGGCGGACGGGUGAGUAAUGCCUAGGAAUCUGCCUGGUAGUGGGGGAUAACGUCCGGAAACGGGCGCUAAUACCGCAUACGUCCUGAGGGAGAAAGUGGGGGAUCUUCGGACCUCACGCUAUCAGAUGAGCCUAGGUCGGAUUAGCCAGUUGGUGGGGUAAAGGCCUACCAAGGCGACGAUCCGUAACUGGUCUGAGAGGAUGAUCAGUCACACUGGAACUGAGACACGGUCCAGACUCCUACGGGAGGCAGCAGUGGGGAAUAUUGGACAAUGGGCGAAAGCCUGAUCCAGCCAUGCCGCGUGUGUGAAGGAGGUCUUCGGAUUGUAAAGCACUUUAAGUUGGGAGGAAGGGCAGUAAGUUAAUACCUUGCUGUUUUGACGUUACCAACAGAAUAAGCACCGGCUAACUUCGUG
rnacentral:rRNA from 1 species